GGGGCAGGCCUCGCCCAAUCCCCCCGCCCGCACCACUCCCUCCCUGCCCACGCCCAAUCCCCUCGCCCGCACCGCUCCCUCCCUCCUUGAUCUCUCUCCCUGGCCAGCCGCCAUUGAUGGGAAACCCUAGCCCGCCGCCACUCGCGCCCGUCUCCUCGGGCCAGCCUCCGCCCGCAACCUCUCCCCUCCCGUUUUCAGAAGGGAAGGGAGGGAAGGGAAGAGAAGAGGGGUAGCGAGCGGGUCAGAUGGCCAUGGUGCUUGCAGAUCCACCGGCCCCGUCGUCGCCGCUGCGCUCGCAGGAGCAUGGCCUCGAUCUGGAGCAGGAGAGGCCAGGAGUGACAUGGUCACAUGGGAGCAGCUCGGCUGCUUGCCGGUGGUGACGGAUGCGCUCAGACCUGUGGCCCGGUCUCGCCGCCGUGCGCCGUCCACCUCCCCGCAGGCAUGCCGGCCACCUCCCCAUCUGACGCACAUCUUCCCCAUGGGGCCAUGGUACACGGUGAGCAGCAGUGUGAGUUCCACACAUUUUGAAGCUACAGCCGCUGGAAACCAGUGAAGAAUGAAGAAAGGUGGAUCCACCAGCAGCUUCGAGUAGGAUAAGGAGAUCUGGACGGAGUUCGUGUUUCAGCAACCAUGGUAGCGCGUCCUCCGACCUUGACCUAGGCAAGCUCCUUCUUUUAGUGAUGUUAGUAAGUCAGCUUUCUCUACCUAGCUCCAUGCGGCAGCCUGGCCAGCUGCCUUGUUCUCUCCACUUAAUCCUUGCUAUUUGUAGGCCGGAGCCAAAUUCAGUUUUGUCUGCAUUCAACUGUAGGCUCUUUAAUGUAUUUUUGUAAGUGGAAUCUGACUUCUCAUGGUCUGCCUAAACAAUGAUUAGUCUAUUGUAUAAUUGAACUAGGUCCAUGGCUUUAAGAAAUUGAGCGAAAUCUACCUUUUCAGGCUUUAAACCCAAUCAUUCAUAUUUGUUGCGACCAAAUGUUCUGUUAUAACUUUAAAAUUGAAAACCAAGUUUCCCUGGACAAUUAUACUUUUUUGUGAGCUUAUUAUUCACAAGUUAUAGUAAUAUGGUAUUAUGGGCUUUGCUCCCAACAUGAUAAGGAGGAAAGAACUGCAGGCUAUAUUGUUCGUUGACAUUCAUGAUCCGCGCUCGCAGGUUCCGACUCUUGUGAGCUACUGCUGCAGAUGAUAUUUGGUCCCCAUCCUUGCUACUGGCUCCUAAUUUUUGUGAGAUGAACAAAUGGUUUAGAUUUACCGUGUAAAGCUGAGAUUCUACAUUGGUUUGGAAUUUAAUUGGUUACCUUUGUUUAAUUUAAUGCCAUGCGAAACCUAAUGUAGAUGUUCAUGUCUUCCCAAUGAUGUUAGUAGGAAGAUUUUUUUUUGCUUUCUUCAUAGUGUAAAUCUGUUGUUCAAGCUUCAAAUUUAUCUUGUUUAUUAUCUUUCCUUUUCUACAAACUAAUGGACCAUAUUUCUACUCAAACAGAGGCAAAGACGUCUUCUUAAUGUUGCAGAAGUUUGGAGGCAUCAAGGAAUGCAUCCUCCUCUUGCUAUGCAAACUGAGGAAAUCAAAGUGAUGGGAAAGCAUUGUACAACAGUUGUUGACUUCAGGAUAUUUCAUGGAUGAGUUAUACUCCUUGACUCCCAUGAGUGUAUCAUCCGCUUGCUAUGCGAACUGAGGAAAUCAAAGUGGCAAAGCAAUUGACUGCAUGUGUUGACUUCAGGAUAUCUCAAGGACGAGUUAGAAUCUAUGACGCUCAGGGAUGCAUCCUCUGCUUGCUACACAAACUGAGGAAACCAAAGCAGCAAAGCAUUGUACUGCAGAUGUCGACUUCGGAAUAUCUCAUGAACCAGUUAUACUCCUUGAUGCUCAUGUAAAAUUAACUCCUUGAUGUUGGUGGUGACCUGCAGGCAAGAGGCAACGACUGGGGUGUUCGAUUCGAUCCUGCGCCAUGGCCCGGUCCCUGCAGGAGAGAGAGAUGAGGGGCAGAGAGAGAAGGAAGGAGAGGAGGGAGAAAGAGAGAGUUAGGUGAAUGCACUGGACUCUUCAAGAUCGAGCGCACCAUUGGAAAGGCCGAGUACGUCCAUCGACAGCCUGCCCAGUGUCCGGAUUCACCAAGCAGUACAACCGGAGACGCUGUCGGCUGCCUGCAGCAGGCAACAAGCCGUCCGUUGUUGUCUCUGCCUGAAGAAGGAUUAUGGUUCUCAACCUCUUUGCUACUCAUAUUAAAAUUCCGGAUUAAUUUUGUUUGUACUUUAACCAGUUCAAGGUUUGGUGGUCGAGCACUAUGAUCUUUGCACACUAAGCUAUUCCGGAGAAGUUUCGAGCUUCUGCAACCUUUUGAAGACAUGAUUUGUAGUUGCGGAGAUGAAACAAUCAAUCAGUUGCGAUGCAUUACAUAAUAUUUUUGCUCUGGACAUUGAUGGGUAUUAUUUUGCCACAAAGGACAGGAGCUGUGCCAUUUGACUCGAAGGAUAAAGCGUUCAUCACAAGGGGGUGGUCUUUAGGAUGUACACAAAAGAGGAAAUUUCCUUUUGUAUAUAACCAAAUUAUAUGAUGUAAUUGACCAUUCUCUUGUACACAAUGUUUAUCAUGUAUUAAGUGCAUUUUAUUGUCAAAUAUGUUUAUUUUUUUUA